UACGUAGGGCGCAAGCGUUAUCCGGAAUUAUUGGGCGUAAAGAGCGUGUAGGCGGUUAGGUAGGUCCGUUGUGAAAACUCGAGGCUCAACCUCGAGACGCCGAUGGAAACCCCCUAACUAGAGUCCGGAAGAGGAGAGUGGAAUUCCUGGUGUAGCGGUGAAAUGCGCAGAUAUCAGGAAGAACACCCGUGGCUAAGGCGGCUCUCUAGUACGGUACUGACGCUGAGGUGCGAAAGCGUGGGGAGCAAACAGG
rnacentral:rRNA from 1 species